rnacentral:rRNA from 1 species
ACUUAAAUUGAAGAGUUUGAUCAUGGCUCAGAUUGAACGCUGGCGGCAGGCCUAACACAUGCAAGUCGAGCGGCAGCGGGAAAGUAGCUUGCUACUUUUGCCGGCGAGCGGCGGACGGGUGAGUAAUGCCUGGGGAUCUGCCCAG